rnacentral:pre_miRNA from 1 species
CUUGUACUCCCUCCGUCUGAAAAUACUUGUCAUUGAAAUGAAUGUAUCUAGAUGUAUUUUAGUUCUAGACACAUCCAUUUUGAUGACAAGUAAUUCCGGACAGAGGGAGUACUUG